rnacentral:rRNA from 1 species
GUACCUGAAGAAAAAGCAUCGGCCAACUCCGUGCCAGCAGCCGCGGUAAUACGGAGGAUGCAAGCGUUAUCCGGAAUCAUUGGGCGUAAAGGGUCCGCAGGUGGCGAAUAAAGUCUGCUGUUAAAGACCGGGGCUUAACUCCGGAAAGGCAGUGGAAACUGAUUAGCUAGAGUACGGUAGGGGUAGAGGGAAUUCCCAGUGUAGCGGUGAAAUGCGUAGAUAUUGGGAAGAACACCGGUGGCGAAAGCGCUCUACUAGGCCGAAACCGACACUGAGGGACGAAAGCUAGGGUAGCGAAAGGGAUUAGAUACCCCUGUAGUCUUAGCGGUAAACGAUGGAUACUAGGUGUAGCUUGUAUCGACCCGAGCUGUGCCGAAGCUAACGCGAUAAGUAUCCCGCCUGGGGAGUACGCACGCAAGUGUGAAACUCAAAGGAAUUGACGGGGGCCCGCACAAGCGGUGGAGUAUGUGGUUUAAUUCGAUGCAACGCGAAGAACCUUACCAGGGCUUGACAUGUCGCGAAUCUAGCGGAAACGUUAGAGUGCCUUAGGGGAUGCGAACACAGGUGGUGCAUGGCUGUCGUCAGCUCGUGUCGUGAGAUGUUGGGUUAAGUCCCGCAACGAGCGCAACCCUCGUCCUUAGUUGCCAAUAUUAAGUUAGGCACUCUAGGGAGACUGCCGGGGACAACUCGGAGGAAGGUGGGGAUGACGUCAAGUCAGCAUGCCCCUUACGUCCUGGGCGACACACGUACUACAAUGGUUGGGACAAAGGGCAGCAAGCUCGCGAGAGUAAGCGAAUCUCAUCAAACCCAGCCACAGUUCAGAUUGCAGGCUGCAACUCGCCUGCAUGAAGUAGGAAUCGCUAGUAAUCGCAGGUCAGCAUACAGCGGUGAAUUCGUUCCCGGGCCUUGUACACACCGCCCGUCACACUAUGGAAGCUGGCUACGCCCGAAGUCGUUACCCUAACCCGGUUUUGGGAGGGGGAUGCCGAAGGUAGAGCUAGUGACUGGGGUGAAGUCGUAACAAGGUAGCCGUACCGGGAGGUGUGGCUGGAUCACCUCCUUU